GGCCCGGUGGCUCAGUCGGUUAGAGCGCCGCCCUGUCACGGCGGAGGUCGUCGGUUCGAUUCCGUCCCGGGUCGCUA
rnacentral:tRNA from 1 species